rnacentral:rRNA from 1 species
GAUGAACGCUGGCGGAAUGCUUUACACAUGCAAGUCGAACGGCAGCACGGGAGCUUGCUCCUGGUGGCGAGUGGCGAACGGGUGAGUAAUAUAUCGGAACGUACCGAGUAAUGGGGGAUAACAUAUCGAAAGAUGUGCUAAUACCGCAUACGCCCUGCGGGGGAAAGCGGAGGAUCGUAAGACUUCGCGUUGUUCGAGCGGCCGAUAUCGGAUUAGCUAGUUGGUGAGGUAAAGGCUCACCAAGGCGACGAUCCGUAGCUGGUCUGAGAGGACGACCAGCGAAACUGGAACUGAGACAUGGUCCAGACUCCUACGGGAGGCAGCAGUGGGGAAUUUUGGACAGUGGACGCAAGUCUGAUCCAGCCAUUCCGCGUGCAGGAUGAAGGCCCUCGGGUUGUAAACUGCUUUUGUACGGAACGAAAAGGUCUCUCUUAAUACGGGGGACUCAUGACGGUACCGUAAGAAUAAGCACCGGCUAACUACGUGCCAGCCGCCGCAGUAA